rnacentral:rRNA from 1 species
ACUGCUCAGUAACACGUGGAUAACCUGCCCUUGGGACCUGCAUAACCCCGGGAAACUGGGGAUAAUUCGGGAUAACGCAUAUGUGCUGGAAUGCUUUAUGCGUAAAAAGGAUUCGUCCGCCCAAGGAUGGGUCUGCGGCCUAUCAGGUAGUAGUGGGUGUAAUGUACCUACUAGCCGACAACGGGUACGGGUUGUGAGAGCAAGAGCCCGGAGAUGGAUUCUGAGACAUGAAUCCAGGCCCUACGGGGCGCAGCAGGCGCGAAAACUUUACAAUGCGGGAAACCGUGAUAAGGGGACACCGAGUGUCAGCAUCCUAUGUUGGCUGUCCAUAUGUCUAAAUCACAUGUGUUAGCAAGGGCCGGGCAAGACCGGUGCCAGCCGCCGCGGUAACACCGGCGGCCCGAGUGGUGGCCACUAUUAUUGGGUCUAAAGGGUCCGUAGCCGGUUUGGUCAGUCUUCCGGGAAAUCUGACGGCUCAACCGUUAGGCUUUCGGGGGAUACUACCAGGCUUGGGACCGGGAGAGGUAAGAGGUACUACGGGGGUAGGAGUGAAAUCUUGUAAUCCCUGUGGGACCACCAGUGGCGAAGGCGUCUUAC